rnacentral:rRNA from 1 species
GAUGAACGCUGGCGGCGUGCCUAAUACAUGCCAGUCGAGCGAACAGACGAGGAGCUUGCUCCUCUGACGUUAGCGGCGGACGGGUGAGUAACACGUGGAUAACCUACCUAUAAGACUGGGAUAACUUCGGGAAACCGGAGCUAAUACCGGAUAAUAUAUUGAACCGCAUGGUUCAAUAGUGAAAGACGGUUUUGCUGUCACUUAUAGAUGGAUCCGCGCCGCAUUAGCUAGUUGGUAAGGUAACGGCUUACCAAGGCAACGAUGCGUAGCCGACCUGAGAGGGUGAUCGGCCACACUGGAACUGAGACACGGUCCAGACUCCUACGGGAGGCAGCAGUAGGGAAUCUUCCGCAAUGGGCGAAAGCCUGACGGAGCAACGCCGCGUGAGUGAUGGAGGUCUUCGGAUCGUAAAACUCUGUUAUUAGGGAAGAACAAAUGUGUAAGUAACUAUGCACGUCUUGACGGUACCUAAUCAGAAAGCCACGGCUAACUACGUG